rnacentral:lncRNA from 1 species
CCAUGAGAAUUAAUGAGAAUUGAGUGAGAAUCGAAGAGAUGAAGUUUUCUGAAAAUUACCUUCAAUGUUGUGUAGAACUUGAGGUUGCUUGCUUCAAACAUGAUCUGAUCACACUUGAGAAGCUUGCAGGGGGUGGUUAGCAAUGGUGCAAGGCUUUGGAUCCUGGAGUUCUUUAAUCUCCAAAUAGUUGAGAUUCAAACUCAAUUUUCA